ACAAGCGGUGGAGCAUGUGGUUUAAUUCGAUGCAACGCGAAAACCUUACCUGGGCUUGACAUCUCUCGGAACCCGGUAGAAACAUCGGGGUGCCCGCAAGGGAGCCGAGAGACAGGUGCUGCAUGGCUGUCGUCAGCUCGUGCCGUGAGGUGUUGGGUUAAGUCCCGUAACGAGCGCAACCCCUGCCUUUAGUUGCGGCCGGUAACGCCGAGCACUCUAAAGGGACUGCCUGGGAUAACCAGGAGGAAGGCGGGGAUGACGUCAAGUCAGCAUGGCCCUUACGUCCAGGGCUACACACGUGCUACAAUGGCCGGUACAGAGGGAAGCAAUACCGCGAGGUGGAGCGAAUCCCAGAAAACCUGUCUCAGUCCGGAUUGAAGUCUGCAACUCGACUUCAUGAAGGCGGAAUCGCUAGUAACCGCGAAUCAGCAGGUCGCGGUCGAAUACGUUCCCGGGCCUU
rnacentral:rRNA from 1 species